rnacentral:sRNA from 1 species
AUAUCAGUGAAGAUAAAACCCAAGUUAAUACCUUAAUGACCUAG